GAUGGGCAGAUCGAGUUACUCGAAAGCCAUCAUUUCAGAAUGCAACCUUAGCUUCCUAUAGCAAGCAGCUUCUGCCUGAGAGCUCAAAACAAUGCUGAGCUUUGAUUAGAAGCUCUUGAAAAUCUCCAUGGUUCACCCUGUGAACAGUAAAGCAGAAGUCACAAAUAAGCUUGCCUGCUUUCCCCAACACACUUCAAAAAAUAAAAAGGACAAUAAUUUAAACCAUACAGCAAAUUCCAACUUGGAAAUAUUUCUCUAUAGUAGUCAUUAGGAAUUACAAGAUGAAUCCUCUUAGUUAAGUAUUUUAUCUCUGUCGACAUUUCACAGAAAUUUGUUUUUAAAAAUAAUGGUAUAAAAGAAAUCAGAACACUUAGCAGUUUGCCACACCAAACACAAUAGGUAUAGUUAAUAAGUUCUAGCUAUUUAAAUAGCUAAACUUUUUUUUUUUAAUUAGGACUUGGUGGAAAGAAGAUACUGAAUGCAUGUAUUGGCUCUACAUCAGUUCUGGCUGUUUAACUUUGAAUAAGACUACCAAAUUGCACCUCAUUUUUUUGUAUUUUGUAAAUAAAAUACCAUUUAUCUAAAUACUAAUCUAUAACAUGCAUUUGGUAAGUGUUGCUGUACUUUGUAUCUUUUUUUUUUAAUCCUAGAUGUCUGAUUGCCUGCUUCAAUUCUUUACUGAAAUGUUAGGCUUAAUCUGAAAAGCAUAUUUAAAGUCCCUCCUAAGCUAUAAAAUACACAUAAAAAGAAAAAAAUUAAAUGUCCUUGAUGGGGAAAGAAAAAAAUGUUAGUUUAAGCAUAAUAUAUAGGUACAUGUUUAUAGGUCAUAUUCAGAGGAUCUAUAUCUCUGCUCUAUAUAGAAAUCAAAACAAAAAUUCCUGAUGAUUCAAUUCUUUUUCCAAGAAUCCUCAAAACAUAUCUUUCAUUGACAAUGGUAUUCCCAGAAAUUCCAAGUAUGAUCAUUCACACCUUUGGUCUGGAAACAAUAUACUAGGAUUUAAAGUCCUCCCACCAGUAUUCUUGCAGAGGGAGAAGUAUUUUUAAUAAUACCACCUAGAAAAAUCUAUGUUUUUUGCAUAAUUUCUAGACAUUGUUACCUACUUAGGGUCAUCGUUAUUAUUAUUUAUAUUUAUAUCAAACAGAUCAUGUCUUAGGUAAUAUUAUAACAAUAAAGGAAAUUAUUUCCUUCCUGACCUAUUAGUAAGAACUAGUGCAUUGCCAUUUGGCACCAUAAACUACAAGUACUUAAUAAAAUCAUCAAAAGGGAUUAGUGGAGCUUUUUCUGAAGGGGGUCUUUAUGGCAAGCCUAAAAAGCAUUUCUUUCAUUGUUUGGGGGGCUUCCAUGUUAUUGUGAAUAUUUUGAUGGAGCCUUGUUUAGUCUGGCUGAAUAAAUUUCUUUUCUUUUCUUUUUUUUUUGUCCUUUAGGGUUAACUAAAUUUAGUUUAAUUGGUGUCAAAUUAGCAAAUACUACAGAUAUAACAACUGUGAAUCCUUGUACACAAUGAUUCACAAAAGAGCAAUAAUGAGAUUUGUUUCUAAAUGCUUUUCCUUGGGAGAAAAUCACACACACACACACACACACACACACACACACACACACACACACACACACUUCACAUUGAUCUCUCCCAUUUCCCAUACAUCGUACCCUAAGAAAACGUGUAUACAGCAAAUCCAAAUAUUUAACCCAAGAAGAGAGACAGGGGAUCUCUUGUAUACAUAAAAUCCAUGCAAAACAAGUGAUCUGGAAAGUUCUGAGCAGAAAGGAAAAGGUUUUUUCAGUCUGCCUUGGGUUUCUUCUUCCUCUCAAUGCUUCCGAAUAGCAGCUUCUGUAUCAGCAGAUGGACGGAGCAAGCGUGUGGCCCUGAGCACCUUGCUAUCACAGCCCAAUUCUCCCUCCCAGACACUGCCUUUAGUAAAUAGAUUUACACAUUCUCCAAUCUCCACACAUCUUUCUGCCGAAUAAUUAAAAGCAGGAUGAUUAGUUUAUUGAGUGGAAGGAGGAACUUUUUUAUUGAGGUCCAUCCACGAUUUUAUCAGGGCCAGCACUUUUACGGUUGUCAGGGAGGGGGUGCAGGCAUCCAAUUUUUCUUAUCUGCCUGAUUAAUACAAACGCUGUUUCAGGACGCAUUAAUUAACAGAUACAAAUCUACGUUCUCAUGGAAGGAUCGAUACGGAGAAGAAAAGAGGCAUCAAUGUGAAUUUAGUGCUGAUGAUGGAGAAGGCACACUAUCGACAUUUACGUGCUUGGAAACUUUAAAGUUGCACAGGGGGCCCCUUUGUCCCUGCUAUUCACAAAUUAACAAUUUUUCAGCCACAACCAUGUUUCACAGAGUUCUUUGGGGUUUAAUUAAGCCAAAGGCAAUAAAAUUUCAUUUUUUAAGGUUAAUCCUAUAAUUUGUUUUUUUUAAUAUGUUGAUGACUCUGUGAGCAUGUGUGUAUAUUUCUGUGUGUGUGUGUAUGUAUGUGUGUGUAUAUAUAUGUUUAUGUUAGAUAUUUUUUCUUCAGGAUCUGUUGUUUUUCAAAUGAAGCAAAUUCCUCGUGACUCUUUGAGGGCCUCGCCAAAUUUAAUUACUAUUUAUGGAGUGUGAAGAUGAGAUUAUGAAAAAAAAAGAAAGAAAAGGUAUACAUAAGAUGUGACACAUUGCAUUCACAGGAUAAUAAAUGAAAACAGUAAAGCUUUCCUUUGGGGAUGACUGUCAAAAGUGUAGAGAUCUUGAAAGAAUUUUAAUGCCUUAAGAUAUGAGACAGUGUAUAAGAAAAACUCAUUGGUCAGUAUACUAUGGAAGGCAGUUAACUGACCCUCUAUCUCAGAGCCUGCAUUUAUUUAAUGUGUAGAGAUGAACAACCAUAAAUGUGAUAAAUGGCUACAGCAGGAGGCUGAAUAGAAUUUUUCCGAGAAGGAGAAAGCGAAGUUGGGAGUUAUAGAGAUUCUCACUUCACAUUCUUUUUACUCCUAUUCUUUAAAAAAUACCUCUUCUGAAGUUGAAAUACAAACUUGACAAUUGGCCUGGCAUACGAAAUGUGUGUACCCUAACCGGGAGACAUUCCUCUUAACCCAAAAUAAAAGUGGGUUGCAAAAGUCUUUCUUAAGCAUCCCUAAUGCUUUCAGGACAAGACAGAUUCCCAUUUCUUAGCCACGAGCACCUUUUAAUUUCUGAAAGAGCCACGGUUGAAAAUCUUAAUUAAUUGUUCCAUACUGCUUCAGGAUCAUUAUGCAAUGUAAUAAAGGCCGUGUAAUUAUGAAAUUUUACAGCCAUUACCAAGGCUGAUGGCUCGUAUUUCAUCCUCAGCUGGACCCGAUGGCUUUUAGGCACUCGGCUCCCCCUUGAUGAACUACAGACAGAUCUAUCAGGCCCAAACAAUAUCCAGGCAAGGCAGCUAUAAUAGCUACCUACAGAUGAAGCCAUAGAUAAAGAUAAACUAUAAAUCUACACACACACACAAAUGCAGGCACAUCGCCUGGGGAUGACAGAAGAGAGGAUUAGGCACUUGGGAAAGAUAGCUGCUCCCACAACUUGUUCUCCAAUGCUUCUUGCUCAUUCUUUCCAGCAGGGCUUGGAUUUCAUAAAAAGACAGCAAAACCCAAGCGAAUGUCUCAUUUAUUCUCCAUAUCUCGAAAUCAAAUGAGAGAAGGAAAGGGGUGUCGAUGAUCAUUGUAUUUAGUGCAUUAUUUAAAGGCCAGAAAUGACUCCAAUGUUCUGGCAUCUCUUCCAGUGGUGAGCAAUUUUUU